GUGCAAAAUAGUAGGAUGACUCGGCUAUGGUGAUCAGUUGGAUUUAGAGAGGUCUGAGGAGUGUUGGCUUGGACCACCCUUUGCUUCGAGAUAUUUAGAUAAUAGUGAGGGAUGGUGAGGCCUUCCAGGCCAAGCAUAUUUUUAGAAAGAUCAAACACGGCUACAGAUUGGGUUGCCGUCUAUGUGGCCAGUCGUGCUGCGAGCACCUUGUGGAUCGGAGAGGGGGAGUUGCCUCGGGCACUCCGCGAUCUUUUAUUUUCUUAACUUUAUUGGAUGUAUUCGUACAUGUAUUGUAUGAUAUACUUGCCAAAGCAAAAAAAAAAAAAGCAUGCAAAGUAGACAUGCUUAAUUCUACCGCUAGAAUUGAAGGCAUGAAGUUUGUUAAAUAAAUAAAUAAAUAAUAGAAGGUUGUAAACAAGAUUUUCUUUAUCUAUAAAUCAAAAAUAGAACAAAAAAGAGGUACAUCCUAAAAAGAUUAGAAAUAAUGCCAAGUUCUCCCGCUGAAUAAUUUGCAAGAAGUCCUCCACCUUCAACUCGUCAUAGCACUCGCCACCAAGAGAACAGUCUUCAGCCUAUAAAACUGAUCCAAAAAAUUGAAGCACGGAGCGACAUGUCUCAACACUCUAUCUCCAGUCCAGUCUUUCCGUCGGUUUUCGUUUUUUUCUUCCGUUCCUUCCCUCAUACGACCUGUUUGAGAGAAGUCCAGAUAGGCCGGGGAAGGAGAAAAAUUGAGAGCAGGGGGGGAGGGGAAGAAGGGCGCGGCGGGGAUCGGGCAGGCGCUAUCCUGCUGGUUGUCCCUCUCGCCCUUCUUCUCCCUCCCCUUCCUUCUCCGUGUUCUCUUUCCACCCUAUCCCGCCUGGUUUUCCAAACACGCUCGUGUAGAUUUUCUAAACGUUCAGGAGUGGGAGCCAAUUUGCUGUUGAGGAUUUCUCUCCGAUGCUUCCAAGAGUUUGUUUGAAUAUCAGUAUAGGGUUAGACUAAAAAUUUAUAAAAAUUGGAUCUGUUGACCAACUAGCUUGUAUGUUCUAAAAAGCCCAUCCAAAUCUAACCUAGGAUAGUACCAAGAAAAAAAAGACUUACGGAAAUAUUUUUUCUUCCCAAAGAAUUUGGGACGAAUGAAGUUUAGUUGACAUGGCAAUACUUAAAUAGAUGGCCCAAACCAAAAUUUUCGAGUCAAUUUUGUAGGAAUAGCCAAACGUGCCCUAAAAAAUUUUGCUUACGAUCGGAAUGGGACCCAUUUGAGACUGCAUAUAUAGGUCAUUUGCUAUGGUUGCAAGUGGAUCUACUUCAUUUGAGACUUCAUCCAAGCUAGGUCAUGGUCGAGCCUAAAUUAAUUUUUGGGCUUGGGCCUUGAUAUUUUUUGCUCAUUUUUGUUGAAUCCUCCAGGUCCAAAUGGAUUGAAUGAUCUAAGCUAAAUGAUUGGAUCUUAUCUUCAAGGCAGGGGGAGGGAGGCAUGUUUAAGUUGGAUCGGAUUUGGGUCUAACUUGGGUCAACGAUUACUCCUUGAACCUAAAAUAAAGACCAUUGUGAUUUGCUCAUCCUCUCAUUAAUGUUGUAGAACAUAUUGUUAAGGUAUGAAACAUGUGGUUUGCAUUAAUUGGUUGCGAUUCUAUGAAGCUUUCCUUUAGAAGUAGAUAUUCUAAAUAGUUUAAUCCUCGCCCCUUCUUCAUACUCCAUUGCCAGAUAAUUAAUGAGUACUAAAGCUGCCAUGUCAUGAUAACACAGUAUCGUAUGAAGUCAAUUUAGUUAGUAUGAAAUAUCAUCAAAGAAACAAAUGUACACUUAGCAUAAUUUAUUAUACUAAAACAAGAAUAGAACUCUUAAAUAAUCAAUAUUUCCUUUGCAGAAUUUAGUCGUUAUUUUGGUUAUAGCAUGGAUCCUAGAUGUUUGUUGGAUGAUUACUAAAAGACAACUAACCUAUACUAAGUGAUCUUUUCUUAUCACAUCGAGGAGCAGCUCAUUAUUACUUGCACCAAAGAUACCUAGAGCCAAAAAUGAGCUAUAUCAGGUUUCUAUAUAGCCUAGGUUUGGUCCAAAAAAAAAUUAGGUUUGGAGCUAGAUCGAGGUUGUUGGCUCUCUUUUGGUAGACCUAAGGAUGACUUAAAAGGGGUAUGUUGUCAAAGUCUUAACCAACAAACAAAGAAUUUUAUACUACUCUUACCAUCCUCUACUCGAUGAAUAGUGGUUGUAGGAGGUCGAUCCAUAGGAAGACGAUUCGAGCACACAAAUAAAAAAUAGAAACUCCAUUAAGAUUCAUGGCAAUAUAUAUUUUGUUUUAAAAAAAAAUCUUUGAGGAUAUUCAAUUAAUCUCUAACCAACCAGAGCUAGUUUUCUAUUCAAAAAUAAACAAAGAAAAGAAAGAAAGCUUUACAAUUGAAUUCUGAUGCAGAGUAGGGGUCGAUUCCUCAACAUGGGAGUCGACUUCUGAAGAUAGAAAGUAAAUAAAAACUGCAAAUCGAACAGCAAAGAAAAAAUUUCAGAGUUAUCUUAAAAUAAGAAUUCCAGAACGCAUAAAAUAAGUUGCAGAAAUUAAACUAAAAUUUAGAGCAAGGAUUGCAUAAAAAAAAUGAUGGAUUGCAUAAAAGGAUAAUUACAAAAGUAAAAUGAAGAUUGGAAGUCUAAUACUUCUUUCCUUCUGCAAAAUAAAAUGUAAAAAGAAAGAACUCCUCCUGGUGUCUCCCUCUCGGUGGAACUCCCUAAGAAAUGAUUUUUUUUCUCCUUUUCGGAAAACAGAGCAUCCUCUGUUUUCUUUCUUCUUCUUUUUUUUUGAAUGAGAGCUCCUCUCCCACGCCUAGUCGAGAACCCUCCUUUUAUAUGAAUCGCCCCAAACUUUGAAGCCAGCAAUGGAUCCCGGGAGAAGAGGAGGGCACGGAUUUCGAGUGCAUCGCCGAAGGCUGGGAACGUGAGUUCGCACGAUCAAGAAUGGAUGCCGAGGAUCAUGUGCGGAUGGUUGGAGGAGGCUAAGAUGUGCUGGAUGCAGACGUUGAUCGCGGGAUGCUGAGGAUCGGGACGGUCGCGGAGGAGGCGAUGAUGCGCAUCCGACUGGCCGCGAGAUACUUGAACACAGGAUCCAUCCUGGAUGGCAAGACAUGGAAGAGGAUGAGGCUGGAUUGCGGAGAAUAGGGCACGGACGCGGGGAGGAUCGCACGUGAACGGCUGGAUCGCUAAUUCGGAAGCUGAGAUGCAUUGUGAACGCGGAUGGAAGGCUAGACGCGCGAGAUGCUGAGGAAUCUGAUCGCGAAAGAAGAGGAUGGACGUGGAUCCAGAUGCGUCAUGGACAACUGGGAGAGGCUGAAGAUGGUAACAGUGUUUCUAGAUUUCUUUCUUUGGGCGACGGAAGGAUAGGAGCAUUGGGAUGCACUGGAAUGUUGGAACGAAGGAGGAAGCAGACGCAGGACCUGGGACAUGGUGGAUCGCUCGUGAACGAUGGGCUGCACGUGGAGAAACUGAUGUCGAAGGCAGCUGGAAGGCGGCCAUCACGGACUGGUGCUAAUUUGGAAAGGGAGGAAGGCUAAUCCGGAAGGUGGAACGUGUGUGGGAUGGGCGGAAGAGAUGCAGAGGAAAAUGGAAGUUGGAUGCUGAUUUGCGGGAGGGUGAUCCACGGUUGCUGCUGAGGUUGGAAAAUUUGAGAGCGCGGGAGGAAGAAGAAGAACAGUGAAAGAAUUUUGUAUUGCAACACUGUUCAUAUGAACAGUUUCAUCAUGCAACACUGUUCAUAUAAACAAUUUCAUCAUGCAACACUGUUCAUAUAAACAAUUUCAUCUCGCAACAUUGUUCAUAUGAACAGUAAUUUCAGCCAUGAAUAGUAAUUUCAGCCAUUGUUGAUGGGAUUGGAUGAAAGUGAAUCCUAAGUUUUUCGGUAUUAAGCAUGUUGAAUUUUUUUAUUUAAAACCAUGGCUGAACCUGAUCGGAUUGCCUACGUACCCAUUCAUAAAGGGGAUCAAGCUAUACGUAGUUCUUUUUAAGUUUUAAAAUGCAGCGGAAAAACCGAAUCAAACAAUUUAAUUCAUGCAUGCUUACAAGAUCAAAUCUAGAAAUCAGCACCUUAAGAACGCAUAGGAUUAUAUCGGAAUCGUUUAAAUAAUUAUGCUAAAACUUUCAUGCAUGAUUAACUAUCAGAUCUGAAAGGUAAACACUCUAUUUCGAUUAAUCUCCGAAUAUCCAUCGAAUGGAUUUCGGAGAUAACUCCGUGAGGAGCCCCAAAGGAGGGUAAAACCUCGGAAAAUCAGACCUAUACCCUGACUCCAAAAUAAAAUAUUGAUGUGGGAUUAAUACCUUUUAUGAUAGAAGAAACUUGUGGAUCUGAUCUUUGACUUCGCAGCCACGCACACGAAUGGCCUCUAUGAGAAGUACACGCGAAGCCCUAGGUAGAUCGUCUUCCGCGGGAGUGUUAGCUCGCGUAAGAACGUUGCAAUGGCUGAAGCUGUCUCCUUCUAAACACUCAACCUUUAAUUGUUCUUCAAAUAUAUGGAGGAUGGAUGUGAGAAAGAAGGAGAAGAAGGGAUGGAGGCCCUCAGGGAUUUUUUUCAGAAUUUUUUGAAACUUCUAAAUAUUGUAUAUUUUGAACCCAAGGCAUGGGGGUCUUUUAUAGCCAAAAGACCACCCCACGCCUCACACCUAAUUUAGCCAACUAAUUUAGCUGAUAAAAUCCCCAAAAAAUUUUGGUGGUUUGGUAGAUAAGAGGAGAUAAACAUAUCCAAAUUUAGUACAUUUUGGAUCUCUAAAAGAUAGAAAUUCAUACGUCCAAAGUUCAGCCGUAGACCACCCUAUUUCAUGCACCAUGCAAUCCCUACAAAUUAGGAAAUUCAUCUAAAUCUUUCUAGAAAGAUUUAAGGUUCCAUUUUUAUAGAAAAUAUAGCCCCACGCCUCCUCUCUUCUCAUGCCAAUUGUUGGCCAAAAAUAAGGAGGAUAGGUAUGUAAAAUAUUGGGGAUAAAUCAAGAUGUCAUUCUUCUCCAAGAAGAUAAGGAUGGGUUCCUAAAAUUUAGGGAUUCUUCUUCUUAUCCAAUUUUGAUUAUUUGGACUCAUAAUCCUCAUCAAAUAAGGUCUUCUAAUUGAUUUGGAUCAAGCCCAAUCCAAUUGGGUCAAGUUUCAUCAAUUUGGUCAAGCUUAAUCUACUUGGGUUGAACCCAAUCUAAUUAGGUCAAACCCUGAUGCAGCCCAAAUUGAAUCCUAUUCAAUUUGGCUCAACUUUAGCCCAAUUACUCAAUCAAAUUGAGUUCAUUAGCAAUCUAAUUGCUAAUUAAUCCUUCAAUAAUUCAAUAAUUAUUUUAAUGCAACUUUUGUUUAGGAUAAUUUGUCAAUCGAAUUGACCAAAUUAUUCCUGAAUGAUUCUUAAUCAUCAAUCAGCCAUUUGAUCAAUCUAGAAACUUCUAUGCGUGUGACCUCAUAGGAUCGAACCAAAGCCGAUAGUAUAGGAAUAUCUUCCUAUACUAAUCGAUGUGACCAUCUAGCAAUGGUACCCGACGUCCGAAUAGGCCGAAUAUAUGCGAAGCAAAUAUUCUAGAACCCUGGACUAUGAUUACUGUAUAAUUCAAUCCCUUUGACUCCUAAUGCCAGGAUGACUUAGAGCCCACUGUCAACCCUAUAAUUAGUACAUCCAUUAUGUGAUUAACUUUAGAUAUUCCGUGAUUCCUCACUGGGAUUACCCUAGCCAAGGUUUUGCCAAAUUAAUCACAUGACAUUAUCUCCUGUUUUCAGGAGGGGUCAAUUCCAUCUUAACUCACAACUGACUACGCAAGUACUUGACUGCACCCAGUGACUUUCCGUCACUGAAUUAGAAAUUCAGGUAGUCCGGUACCAAAGUACAGUGAGUUGCUUGCUAGUCACAGGUUGCGGUCUCAGGUCAGAGGGACAAACUUAUACCCAUAUCUACUCGGAACAUCUCUCGACAGUAGAGCAUUCCGAAAUUGGUCACGUUNNNNNNNNNNNNNNNNNNNNNNNNNNNNNNNNNNNNNNNNNNNNNNNNNNNNNNNNNNNNNNNNNNNNNNNNNNNNNNNNNNNNNNNNNNNNNNNNNNNNNNNNNNNNNNNNNNNNNNGCUGACGAUUGACAUUUAGGAUACAAUUCCCAACAUUGGAUGCUAAAAAAUCUUCUCUUUUAUGAUGAAGUGAGAGUGGUGCAAAGAGAAGGAAUCUAUAGCUGAAAUGUGCCUAAUCGCAAUUGGUUGAGAUGAACUUCUGUCCAUAACAAUAGGGAUAAAUCAUGAUGAUGCAGUGGAAAGAUAGGAAGUGACCCAGAUUUUAGGUGGGCUUGGCCCGAAAAGACCUUCAAUUAUAAUAAAAAAUCAAAAUAAAAAAUACAUAUUUUUAAGAGUUAUAUGUAGGAGAACUUUAGAAAAUUAGGUCCAAAAGAGUGCUAAAAUGUGCACAGAUGUGCACUUAAUAAAGGCUUGAAACUUCUUGCAAAAUUGUAGCCCAAACCUAAUCUGGAUUCGAACUUAUGCUCAACCCGAAGCUUAAAUGGAUUGGCCUAGAGAGGGAAGAGAGAGAUGAGGUGAGAGAGAUCAGGAGGGAGAGAGAGCGAUGAGGGGAGAGAGAUCAUGGAGAAGAGAGAGGAGAGGGGGGAAACAGAUAAAAAGGGGGAGAGAGUGAAGAGGGGAGAGAGAACCUGGAGAAGAAAGAGGAGAGGAGGAGAGAGAGGAAGGCAGAGAGUGGAGAGUGGGGAGAGAUCGAGUGGGAGAGGGAGGAGAGAGGGGGAAAAGAUAUCAAGAGGGAGAGAGAGGAGAGUGCGUGGAGAGGGGAGAAAGGAUAGAAGGGAGAGAGAGAUCGAGAGUGAGAGGGAAAAGAAAGGAAGGAAAUCAAGUACAAGAGAGAGGAGAGUGGAGAGGGAUUGGAUAAGGUUUCUUGAGCUUGGUUUUGAGCUCAGGUUUCUAGUUGGACCUAGUUCAAGCUUGUCGUUGACUUAAGCUCGGCUUGUGGUUAAUUUGAACUUCAUUUUCAUGCCUAAGGUUUACUUGAACUACUUUGGGCCUAGCCCAUUGCUCGACUUGAAGCUAACCUAACCCUACGUGCCUCGAGCUGGCUCGAGCUCGCUUCCAUUCCAAAGAGAUGGUAAAAAGCAAAGUUUUGGACAGGCAAAUUGUUCAAUGCAUGACUUUAUUUUGAAAUUUUUAUCUCCAAAACUAUCUAAUAUUUUUAUGAUAAAUCUUUCAAUAUUAAGUCUGUUAGUUUCUAGAUGAACAAUGGCUUGGUUUCUCUACUUCAAUUUGGAAGAAAUACUGAUGUGAAUCAUCUAGUUGAGUGUUCUUCUUUGCUUAACAUGUUGAUGCCUUGAGGAAUAAAACCUUAAUAGCUAAUAAGUAACAAAAGAGGAGCUAGGCUCAUCCUCAAUUCUUCUUUGUAGUUUGGUUGUCAUUUCUUUUUGGGAUGUAAUUAUCAAAGGUGAUAUAGUGUUUCUUCAAUAAUAAUAAAACAAAAAAAAUGCAAAAUUCAUCUAGUUUCUGCAAGUAUAUAGUCGAGAUGAGAAGGAAAAUUGAGAGAAGAUGUUUAGAAUUGGUUGAUAGGAUUCUUUUUUCUAAGACAACAUGUUUGUCACUUUGUCUUAAAAGACAUAGGAGGAUCUUUCAAUAUGCAUCUCAGGUUAUUAAGAAGUUUAAUUUGUUCGUUUAUUUGAGAGUAAGGAUCUAUUCGUUCUUCUGAAAGUCAACUGACUUUUUAAUCUUUUUGAAAAAAAUACUUGUUGCUUUUUUUAAAAAAAAAUACCUGCCUUUUGUAUCUUCUUGAUGAUAUUUUUGUCAAGGAAAAACUUCUUUGUGAUUGUAUCAUUUUCCAUAUCUCAUAAAAUUAAUAGAUGGGUAAAACCAUUUUGAUCUAAAAAAAUUAAAUCAGUAACUGCUGUGAUUCUUAGAACCAUCAUUAUGGGGAUUCAAAAGCAAUGUGGAAAUUUUUAUGGGAAAGGAAAGCAACAUGUAACUAGUAUAAUUAGAACCAAAAUUCCAAAUCAUAUGAUAAUUAUAUUUUGAGCUUGCGACGGUCCAUCCUUGAUGGAAUUGAUAAAUUAUCAUCACACCAAUCACCUAUAUUUAAUACAUAACUAUUUUUUGAACUCAUGGAAAAACAAUGCCAUUGGUCAAACAAUCAAAGGAAGGGUAAUACAACACAAGAUUGCCAAACAUGAGAAAUCUAAUUAAACUAAAAAAGAAAGAGAAGGCCAAGUACUUGCUAUGGAAUAGCUCGAACAAAAAAAAAAAUCUUUCUUACAAAUACAUAGUACAUCAACUAUACAUUAGGUUCUUGGUGCUGAAAACUUAAUUUAGAUCGUGGAAAAAAAUUAAAACUAUAAGAAAGGUGGGAUAUUUGGACCUCGUCCCAAAUAGAUACCAGGCCCACGUAUGAAGGUGGUGCCCUCUACCUUGACCAAAAAGGAAAAACAAGGUAGAUGCCCUAUUCCUUGCACAACCAAUAAUAGGUUUUUCUCUCCACCAUCUCUAUCGUGCCCUCUACCUCUCUCGCGUGCACUAGAGGUCACCCUCUCAACCUCUCUCACACACCUCUAGCACUCACCACCUCUCAUCCAAUAAAAAUCAUAUAGAAUGGGCACCAGAAAAGAAAACAUAAUGCGGGCUUCCUAUUUUGCCACUUUUUUUUCUAGUGUCCAUCUUUAAAAAGAAAUCUAAAAGUCAGAGACUUCUCCUACUAAUGGCGUCGUCAGUCCUAUGAUUAAAAAAAACCCAAAGAAGAAAAAAAAUUGCACACGACAUUCUCUUUCUUUCGCAUUAACCUCUCCAUCUGUCUUCUUCCUUGUAAGGUCGUCUCUUUUAUUCAUCAAAACUUUCUUCUUCUUUCUAUUUUUUUUAUCCUCCUUUAAAUUCUGAUUCUCUUUUCUAAGAUCUUCGCACUUAAGUGUUCAUGGAAUGUAAAGAAUGGUAUGCAUAUAGUUUCUUAUGUUAGACAAAACUAAGAAACUAUGUACCCUAUAUUAGAAUUAAUAAAUACUAUAUUCCGAAAACUGUAUGUCGAUUUAUCUAAAUGUAUAUUGGCUUGGUAUAUAACUAAUUUACUUGAUAUUUAUUACUUAGCCAUAUAGUGUGUACUGGUAAAAAGUAUGUUAUAAAUUAUAAAUCGAUUUAUCUGAUGGUGUGUAUUGGAUUAUUGGUGGAUGUGUAUCAAAAAAGCUUGCAGUAUGUAUCAGAAAGUCAACGAGUGUGUACAGGGCCGGUCCAAUCCUUAAGUGACCUAGACGGUCGCCUAAGGCCUCGGCCCAAUAAAAGGCCCCCGCCCCAAAUCCCCUUCGCCUCCUCCUCUCUCUCUCUCUCUCUCCCUGCCGCCCCAACCGGAAUGGAGGGAGGAGGUAGGAGCCCUCGCCGAAGUCCGACUCUCCACCGAUUGUCGCCCUCCUUCCAGCUCUAGAGCCCCAGCUAGCCAGCCUCAACACUGUCCACCUCCGCCGCGUCUUUGACCUAUUGGAACCACUUUAGCUUCAAGCAAAGAGAAAGAAGGGGGAAAAGAAACUCUCACCCCCCUCCACCGCCUUUCCGUUCCAAGAUUUCAGAGAUCUUUGAAAAGUUUUCAGCUAAGAUUAAGAAUAACCGAUGGAAGAGCAUCAACAGAGCCCUUUCCGCCCCUACUCAAAAAAUCCUAACCCUAGAUUUCGGUUUCUUGAGCCCAUCUUUCUGGAUGAAAGAUUCAGAGAAGGUGUCUACUCCCAUAGUUGAAGCCGAUCUGGCGAUGGGCAUCUCCGACGAGGAUUCCUUUGAUUCGUAAACCGCUCCAUUUCACCCUCCUAAGAUCUUUGUCUUGAUUUUUUUUAAAAAAAUUAUUUUUUGUUAUUUUUCAGAAAGAGAGAGGUUAAUCUUAAAGUGCUGAAGGUGCCCGAGAUAGAACAAAAAGUUAGAAUUUUGCUUUUAAUGUCUUGAUCUAUGGUAAUGAGGACCCGGAUCGUUGUAAUUUCUUUCAAAUCUUGAUUCUAUGGUUUUCUAUUUGAGAAAACAAGGGCUAUCCUCUAUCAACUGAUGGACUCGAUUUUAGAAUGUGAAUUAAUAUGUAUAAUAGAAAGAUUUUUUUUUCCUGAGCAUCCUUCAAGUUGAAAUGUCAACCUAUCUUACCAGCUUGUACUCGAGAUAUCAAUUUCAUUGCCACCCCAAAAAAAAGUGAUUAAAUAAAAUAAAAAAAUGCCUAGCCUUGAUCUUGGAGAACUGAGCUGAAAUUUCUCUUAGCGGCAUGGUGAAAUGACUGAAAAAAAGAUUACAGUUGUUGUUUUCCCUUCGGCAUGUUUAAUUCUUAGAUAGCAAUCCAACUCUCUUCUUCUCAAUGUCCAUUUUGGUUGAUAUGAGUUGGUAUUAUAGGAUUAUGAGUGGACUGUAUUAUUGCUGAACUUCAAAUCUAGGAAGAAGUUGCUAUUGGCGUUGGACUCUCUGUUUUGUUCUCUAUGUUUCUUUCUUUAUGUUGAUCUAUCAGCAUUACAAAAUUUAGGUUCUUGAUGCAACUAGCGAUGAACCUGUUAGCCUAGAUGCACAAAUAUAAUUGAUAAAUUAAAUAUUUUUAAUAUUCAAAAACAGUAAAUAAGAAGAAUAAACUAGCAAAUAAUUAACUUGACCAUAUAAUAAUAAAAUGAAGAAAAAGAGAGAAGAUGGUCUCUGGAUCGAAGCACGCUGAUGCGUUGUCCUAGAAAACUUUAUGCCCCCCACACACGGAUUUGCUGGCACAGAUCUUCUAGAGAUACGACGACCCAAUACAGAACCACGUUUUUCCCGUCAGUGCGCCUCCAGGGAAGAAAGAAGAGCACGUUCAUGCUUGCAGAUAGCUCAAAAGAAACUUAAAAAAAUUAUGAGAAGAAGAAAAAAUUUCUUUAUUUCUUUUCUCCCCAAUGAUCCCUAGAGCCUUUUUUAUCUAGACUUUUGGAAUAGGAAGAAGAAAAAUUUUUAAUUGUAGUUUGAAAUGAUUCCUAGAACCCUUUAUAUAGGCUCGGGCACAUUAAAAGAAGCAAAUUCCCCUCCCGCGGAUUGAUGACAUGUCUUCUUGUGCUCUUUUGAUCCUUCGGUUUAUUGCAUCUUGGUCGUCCAUAUUUUCUUCCUUCUUCAAGGGGCCUUUCCAUGCUUGCUCUUGCGCUGGAUGCAUGAUACUUGUCAUAGCCUACUUUCUUUAGAAAUUUUUCUAUGUUGCUGCCUUGCUUGUGCGUGGAUGCUUGCCACUUGGCCGUUGACCAAUUUGAUUUUUAAAAUUUUAAAAUAUUUGAUUUAAUUCAAUAAUCCCCCACAAAAAUUAAAUAUUAAAAAAAUUUAAAAUCAAAAUAAAAUGCUGAGUAUCUUAUAUUAUGUAAUAGGUGUAGGUACCUUUCGAUUUGAACCUUCACUUAGUGACAAUUGAUUAACUCUGUGGAGCUAAGGUGGACUAUGCCUUGAACCAUGGCUCGUAUUUCAUUAACAGCACACAUAAUAUAGCGCGAAUAUGCUCGAAGCGGGUUUGGGCUUUACGGCCAUGCGCAGGUAUCUCUUCAUGUGUGUUAUUAGGGAACAGCUCACUUCCCACAGUCGCGGCCUCACGACUACACGCAUAUAGGUAAAUCCUAAAAAGGGUACGAGCAAGUUGGUAUCCUGCCUCAUGGGUUUCGGAUUUAUUAAGAGUAAAAACUCAACCAAACCCUUGCUUUUUAUGAGCACUGUUGCCCUAGGGAUGGAAAAAACAGAUAGGGCUCCUCAUUAGUCACCUAUUUAGCUUAUUUCUACCCAUUAAACCUUUUCAGGUUGGGUUACCACCGUGGUGACUUUACUUAUGGGCUUAGCCUCAUCACCCUCGACAACUCUAGAACCACUGUUCUAGACAAUCCUUUGGUAAGCUGAUCAGCUAGAUUUCUUUUGGAUCUUAUAAAAUUUAGUGCAAUCAAGUUAUUCUUUAAUUUGUAUCUCAAUGAUUUAUGGCGUACUUUCAAGUGCCUAUGCAUUUUUACAUUUAUAUUUUCUUGAUUGCAUUUAUCUAUAGCAGAUCUGCAAUCACAAUAAAUAGAUAUAGAAGGUAAUGGUGAAGUCCCAAGAUAUAAAUAUAUUAGUAGAUCUCUAAGCCACUCGACCUCAAUGCUAGUGAUAUCUAGGGCAAUCAUUUCAAAUUUCAUGGUGCUCUUAGCCACUACAGUUUAUUUGGUAGACUUCCAUUAUAUAGCUGCACCUCCUAAUAGGAAGACAAAACCAAUGGUGGAUUUGGUGUCAACUGUAUCACUGAUCCAGAUGGCAUCACUAUAGCCUUCCAGAAUAGUAGGAUAACUACAAUAGUGUAAUCCCAGAGAUAUGGUACUCUUAAGGUACCCGAGAAUUCUUUUUAGAGCAGUCCAAUGAUCAUUAUUAGGAUUGUUAGUAUAUCUACUCAGUCGGUUCACAGAGUUUGCAAUAUCAGGUCUGGUAUAAUUUGCAAGAAAUCCUAAAGAACCAAUGAUUUGGGCAUAUAAGCUUUGAUUGACUGGAUCACCUAAGUUCUUCUUUAGAUGAAGAGAUGGAUUAUAGGGAGUAGAUACAGGAUGACAAUCAGAGUAGUGAAACUUUCUAAGAAUCUUCUCCACAUAGUGGCUUUGGGACAAAAUUAUUCCAUCUUCAUUCCUCAUGAUUUUAGUAUUAAGGAUUAGGUUUGCUUCUCCUAAAUCUUUCAUAUCAAAUUUUAGAGAUAAAAAUUAUUUUACUUCAUUAAUAAUUUCUAAGUCUGUUCCAAAAAUUAGGAUAUCAUCUACAUAUAGACAUAAGAUUAUAAUUUUGUUAUUCUUCUUUUUAUAAUAUACACAUUCAUCUAUGUUAUUAAUUUUAAAUCCAUUAGUUAGGAUUAUUUUAUUAAAUUUAAGGUGUCAUUGUUUGGGGGCUUGUUUUAGACUAUAAAGAGAUAUAAUCAACCUACAUACCUUUUUCUCUUGACCUGGGAUAAUGAAAUCUUCAGGUUGGUCCAUGUAGAUCUCUUCAUCUAGGUUUCUAUUCAAGAAAGUAGUUUUAACAUCCAUUUGAUGUAUAACCAGCUUAUGAAUGAAAGCCAAGGCAACAAGGAUCCUAAUAGUAGUGAUUCUAGCUAUAGGGGUAUAAAUAUGAAACAAGUCAAUUCCAGAUUUUUGAGUAAAAUCUUUGGCUACUAACCUAGCCUUAUAUUUGUCUACAGUUCUAUCUAGCCUAAGUUUCUUCUUAAAGAUCCAUUUACACCCUAUGGGUUUACUUUCUGGGGGGUAAGUCUGCCAAUUUCCAAGUAUGGUUUUGGAUUAUGAAUUGUAUUUCAUGAUCUAUUGCUUCUUUCCAGAAGGAGGCAUCUAAAGAUUUCAAGGCAUCCUCUAAAGAAGUAGGAGAGUCUUCUAUUAGGAAUAUGUAGUAAUAUUCUCUAAAGUUCUUUUCAACUCUAGUUUUUUUACUUCUUCUAGGUUCAGUUUCUUCUUCUCUAAAUCUGGUUCUGCUAGAACUAGUCCCUAAAUUAUUAUUGGUAUUUAUUUGUUCAUUUAUCCUUGUUUUAAAGAAAAAUAUACUUUAAAAAUAGAUUGCAUCUCUUGCUUACAUUAUGGGGUUGUUAUUAAUUUCAUUUAUUUGAGAGUUAAACACUAAAAAUCUAUUAGCAUUACUCUUAAUUGCAUAUCCUAUAAAUAUUGCAUCUACUAUUUUUUGGUCCAAUUUUUUUUCUUUUAUUUUUUGGAAUUUUUACUUUAGCUAAGAACCCCCACACUUUUAAGUAUUUUAAGUCAGAUUUUCUAUGUUUUCAGAUUUCAUAUGGAGUUUUAUUAUUAUGUUUGAAUAGAAUUCUAUUAAGAUAUAAGAUGCAGUUACUAAUGCUUCCUCCCAAAGAUUUUCUGGUGCACCUGAACUAAUUAACAUAGAGUUAACCAUAUCCAUUAAGGUUCUGUUCUUUCUCUCAGCUACUCCAUUAGAUUGGGGUGAAUAAAGAGCUGUCACUUCAUGAAUUAUCACAUGUUCUUUACAGAACUAGGUCAGCUCAAAUGAGAUAUAUUCACCUCCUCUAUCAAACUUUAAGAUUUUAAUCUUUUUAUCUAGUUGGUUUUCAGCCUCUGCUUUAUAGACUUUGAAUUUAUUUAAAACCUCAUUUUUAGCUUUGAUAAGAUAGAGGUGACAGUAUCUAUAAAGUUCAUCUAUGAAAGUUACAAAAUAUUUAUUUCCACCCCUUGAAGUUCUUCCUGAGUCACAUACAUCACUAUGUAUGAGUUCAAGGAGAUCAGAAUCUCUACUUAUAGAGUGAAAGGGUCUUUUAGGUAAUUUGGCCUCUACACAUAUCUCACAUUUGUCAUUAUUCUUAAGUUCUGAUUUUGGGAUUAAAUUCAAAUGCAUUAAAAAGCAAAUACAAUGAUCAAAGAUAAUUUCUCACAACAGGCCUAUGACUCUCUUAUAUGGACCUAAGACUCAUAUGCCAUACAUGGCUUGUUGGUGGGAUAAUUAAAACUACUUUCUAAUCAGCCGCAUAGGGUGAAAUUCAAAUUCAACUUCAAACUUCUCCAGUUUAGUACUGAGGUUUUCAAAUGUAUGGAAAGCCAUUGAUUAGGAGAGAAGAAAGAGAUUUAUUUGUAGCUUAACACAGUUUUGACACAUAUGAAAAUGAAAAGAUUUAUGUCAAAUUAUUACAUUGAUAUCUAAUUUGAACUUUAAAUGUCUAGUUGAAAAAUCCAAAGAAUGACAGCUAGAUCAGAUCUAGGUUGGUGGUGGAGCACUUGGCUCACUUAAAUACCAGCCUUUCUUAGGCACGUAUACCUUUUUGACAAGCUUUUCUUAGACACCGUUAUUCAAUGGAUGAUUUCACUAGAUAUCGUUUAAUUUUAUUCUAAGUGCAAUAUUAAGUUAGCUCCUAUGAAUUAACCAAUUUUUGAAUUUCUGUUUGAAUGGAAUUUGGAAAUUACUCCAUGAGGAGUCCAAAUGGCGGUAUUAAUAAACCUCUUGGAGGUUAGGGAAUCUAAUAUUUUGCUUAAAAAAUUAAGCACUAAAGUGAAGCUAGCAUAAAUGUGUAACAACUAAAAUAUAACAAUUUACAAUUAUGCAGCAAAAUUUAUAAUAAAUAUUGCAAUUUAAAAUCUAGUGCUAACAAUAUAUAAACUUUCCUGGACUGUUAGCCUAGAUGCACAAAUAUAAUUGAUAAAUUAAAUAUUUCUAAUAUUCAAAAAUAAUAAAUAAGAAGAAUAAACUAGCAAAUAAUUAACUUGACAAUACAAUAAUAAAAUGAAGAAAAAGAGAAAAGAUGAUCUGUGGAUCGAAGCAUGCUGAUGCGUUGUCCCAGAAAAGUUUAUGCCCCCCACAUAUGGGUCUGUUGGCACAGAUCUCAUAGAGAUACGACGACCUAAUACAGAACCACGUCUUUUCCGUCAGUGCGCCUCUAGGGAAGAAAGAAGAGCACGUUCACGCUUACAGAUAGCUUAAAAGAAACUUAGAAAAAUUAUGAGAAGAAAAAAUUUCUAUAUUUCUUUUCUCCCCAAUGUUUCCUAGAGCCCUUUUUAUCUAGACUCUUAGAAUAGGAAGAAGAGAAAUUUUUGAUUGUAAUUUGAAAUGAUUCCUAGAGCCCUUUAUAUAGGUUCAGGCACGUCAAAAGAAGCAGAUUCCUCUCCCACGGAUUGAUAACGUGUCUUCUUGUGCUCCUUUGAUCCUUCGGCUUAUUGCAUCUUGGUCGUUCAUAUUUUCUUUCUUCUUCGAGGGGCCUUUCCAUACUUGCUCUUGCGCUGGAUGUAUGAUAUUUGUCAUGGCCUACUUCCUUUGGAAAUUUUUAUAUGUUUGCUCCCUUGCUUGUGCGCGGAUGUUUGCCACUUGGCCGUUGACCAAUUUGGUUUUUAAGAUUUUAAAAUAUUUGAUUUAAUUCAAUAGAACCUUGGGGUCCUCAUGGAUCUGCUCUAUCGGAGAUCGCCUAGGCAAUGAAAAAAUUGUAAUCCCUACCUCCAUUUUUUGUUGUUGAAAAAGAAACUUUCAGGAUUUGAAUCUGUUGAACCUAAUGGAAAGGAUGUCGGGAUCAAUGUGAGAAAGAAGGCAGAAACCAUCUCAGCUCUUUUGAAUGAUAAAAAAAAAAAUACAAGCAGUCAUAGAGAAAGUUGCUGCAACCCGUGAUAAGUAAGACUCUGAACACUCCCUGUGAGAUCUUUUUCUGCUCAUGUCUAAACCAUAUUUUGCUGAAUCAGUGAUUGCUGUAUUUAGAUACUUUGGGCUGUCCUCAACUGGAAUAACAUAUAAAUCAAGUUCAGCUUCAUACGGCGGUGAUGGCUUUAGUGAUCGUUAUGGAAGUCCAAGUGGUUCGAGGGAAGGUGACACUUUUAGAUAUAGUUACCGAGACAGUGAAUCACAUAGAAGUGUUGCUGAUGAAAAUGAAGGGAGCAAAUCAAAGAAGACAGUAGCACAUCAAGCCAGGUAAAUUCUACUAGCCUUGUAUACUCUGUCUUUUUCAUUUUUCUUUUUCUUACAGGAUGCUUGCUUGUUGAUUUGGGUUAUCUUAUCAUGUUUAUAAUACUCAUGCUUUUGUUAUAUAGUUUCACAUAGAAUUUGAUGUCACAACUAAAUCUAUGAUUAAUUGAAACUUGAAUCAUUACUUGUAUGCACUUUUGGUUGUAUUUAAGGAUGUACAUGAAUUUUUAAGGGAUUAAUUGAAAAUGAUUUUUUAAAGUAUUUUGAACUUAUUAAAAAAAUUAUUAUUUUUCAAAAAAAAAGGCCUUCCUUAGCGAGUUUCUCUUGGACCUCCAAGUGCAUUGGGCUGCUCCUAAGUGUGUAUCACCUGGCUUUGUAACGUAUACCGGUGAACAUGAUAUUUUGAAAAUUGCAUAUCAGUUUGCUUAGAGAUAUGUAUUGGGUUGUUAUAUGACUAAUUUGCUAAGUAUAUAUUAUCUGACUCUGUACUGUAUACUGAUGAAUAUCAUAUUUUAGAAACUAUAUAUUGAUUUACGUAAAUAUAUAUAUUGGCUUGCUAGAUGUUUAAUUUACUUGAUGCGUAUCUUGCCAUGUAGUAUGUGCCAGUAAAAAACAUAUUCUGGAAACAAGAAAAAAAAGAGAGGAUGUUGUAUGUGAAUUUUUUUUUCUUGGUUUUUUUUAAUUGAGAGGACUAAUGACUUCGUUGGUAGGAGUUCCUAACUUCUAGGGCUUGUUUGGUUCGUGGGAAAAGAAGGAAAAAAAGUGUGGUCAAUGAAAAAGUAAUGAGAUGUCUCUUGUUUGGAGUUUUCAAAAAAGAGAGAUGGAAAAUUUGUAUUCCAAUGAAAAUAUGAUUUCCACAUUUUAUGGGAAAGUUGCUUUCCCAUGAGGCGGAAAUCACUCUAUCUUUAUUUUUUCCCAAAAAAAUCCUUCAGCAUUAAAGAAGCAUUAAAGACCUAAUUUUUAUUAAGGGUAUAAUAGGAAUUAUGCAUAACUUUUUCAGAAAAGUGGAUGGUCAACCAAACAUAAGUACCCUGGAAAUCUGUCACUUUUCCAUGUUUAACCAAAUAUGCCAAAAGUACAUUUCCAGACAUUCUCUUUAUAGGAAUCUUCUUCUUAGAAAUCAUAUUCCUAGGAGGGAAAAUGCUUUCCGCGAACCAAACGAACCUCUAGAUUUCUUUUUUUAGAUGAGUACUAGAAAAAAUAUAGCAAAUGAGAAGUCCACCCCAUAUUUACUUCUCUAGUGCCCUCCCCAUAUAAUUUUUGUUCCUCUCAUCCUCUUUUCUCUCUUUCCAUUUUCUCUUUUUCUUCCAUUCUCUCUCUCCCCUCUGCGUCCCGUACAGAUAGAUGAUUGCUGCUCACAAAAAUCAUAGUUCCUAACUUCCUACCACCAAAAUAUCCUUAUUCCUAAAUAUCAAAAUAUCAAAAUAAAUGUUAAUAUAAGGAAGAACCUCAUGGACAAUCUCAUAAGAAGGCUGAUCUUGCCUUUUCUUUUGUUAUUGUUUGCAACGCCUUCUUUGUGAUAGCCUAUGACUUGUGCCGUACAUGAGGAUAUUUGUGCUCCAUCGAUCACCAAUACAGUGAUUCCCUGGUGAACCGAGCAAUGAUCGGUGGCAUGGCAGGUGAUUAAUAGUUUUUUCCUGUAUUUGAUUACUAUCGAAGGCUAUUUAAAAUGAUUAUCGUUAUUGUCUCUUAUAUGAUCUUGGCAUAACUCAUUCAUGGCAUUCUGAUUCCAUGUCAACUUAAAAUACAAUGGAAUGGACCGCUCCGAUCAUGUUAACAUCAUUAUCAUGUGGAGGUGGAACACCGGAAGGAAUUCAAUUAAUUGACCGUUGAGCAAUUCAUGGCGGGAAAGUGGUUAGUUGGCGAGCGCGGCCGGUGCUCAGAAUUGCCGUCCUAGUCUGCCGUCUACAAGCCCUAGGCCCCAGCUGGAAGGGAGGGAGAGGACAUCUUAUGGGACCCACCCGUCCUGGCUUUCCCGUCAUGCGUCCACGUCAGCACGUAGGGCUGACGCGUGUGCACGAGCGCCGAGCCGUCUCGUCACUCUCGAGUGGCAGCCCCUCGCACGUGGAGAGGCCUUAGAUUCAUGCGAUCUUUUGGAAUGCCUUUCAGAUUAAAUAAUACCCAUAAAUGGAAACCUAUUUUUUUAUGAUUAUAUUUCUUUCCUUCCGUCCAGCCACCCUGUAGUUACUUUGUGUGUAAGAAAGUUGAAGAUUUCUGCGUUACCAAAAGAAAUUCUGUCAUCUGGCAGAGAAAUAGUACAAAAAAUCUAAAUUUCUUGUCAGAGCGGUUCUCAAAUCAUAUAUUAUUUUAUAAUAUAAUCUGUUUUCUAUCACGAACUUUAGAUUAGACCACAGCUGAUCAAACAUGUAGUCCCACCUUCCGAGGCAACCUACAUCCGGAAGCUACUUGCGUCGUUCCCAUAUUUUCUAAUGUGCUGGAUUGAAGAAUUUAUAAGCUGACACAAGACAUAUCAGCAAGAAAAUGAGUUCGGUUUAACUGCAAAGUACUGCUUUUAUUCACAAUUCCCAAGCAGCACCCCAACACUAAAUAUGCUUUCAAUUUCCAUCGAGUCAAGAAAAAAAAAACCAAUUUCAUUAAGCAUUGCUUAAUAUCUUUGAGAUUAACUUCGUUGAUGUGCUAUCAUUUAAAAUAUUGCGAUUUCCGAUUUCUAUUAGGUUUAUGUUGUCUCAUUGCUGCAUCAAGAUUGUUUUUUUUUUCCAAUGAAUAAACGACUCAUCUAUCUUAGUUUAAUUUAAUUCAACAUUUUUAUUUGGUUUCUCUAGAUUAGAUCAAUUGUUGAGAAAUUAGAAUUUAUACCAGAAAUAUAAGAUAGCAAUUUCGUGACUCCCAUGAUUUCACAAAUAAAAAAUUAAAAGUUGAGGUUGUAAAUAAAUCUUGAAAUAGUGAUAUUUUUUAUUUACUUUUUAUCCUUCGAGAAAUGGUGAUUUACCCAUCAUUUUAUUUAUUGUUUAAAAUCAUAAAUCUUAUAUUUAAUUGUCAACUUUAUUUUUUUAAAGAGAGAGAGAGAAAAGAUUACUAAAUUAUAUUGUACGAACUACAAGGAUAAAUGAUCUGUAGAGGUCGGUGGAGCCCGAGGUCUAAUCAUGUGUAUGAUUGAACGGCAAAAACAAAUUAUUGUUUUGCUUUCCAUUUCGAAAUUAGAGCGCUCGUAUUUAAUGCGGCCUCUGACUUUGCUUCCCAAACCCACCAUCCCUCUCUCCUGGGAUUCCCGUCGGGCAGGCUGCCUCCUGAUUAGCUUACCCACAUCCCCACAAUGCCCUUCACGUCCGAACCCUGCGCUCAAAACGCUCACUUUGAGUGCCAUUUGUUCCUCCAGUACUGCUCAAGUCCCAUUAUUUGUUAUCUAUAUUAUUUAUAGCUGGCAAGUUAGUCCCAAAUUUUAUCGGUUUUGUGCAGGUGUUGUGAGAUGGAGCGGCUCGCUGGAAAUGGUCCCCGAAGUAUCAAAUCUGACGAGUCCGAACCUAACUAUUGGAGGGCGAAGGAGAGCUCGAGACUUUAGUCCCACAUCGGAAAAGUAGCAGAAAGGAUUGUGCCUUAUAAGAACGGGCCACCCCUUCUCUCGUAAGACGUAUUUUGAACAAAACUAUGAGGGUAGCGCACGAUGCGCCAACAACACUAUUGGAUGGUUGAACUCAAUAAAUGCUCUUCUCAUGCAAAUUAGUUUAAAGAUUAUAAGGUAUUCGUGAAAUUUAAUACUGAUUUUUGGAAUUUACUUAUGGCGUAUUUUUCUAUUGAGGGGAAGGAUCUUAAAAAGCUUAACCAAAUGCUGUUGCAUUUCUAGUAUAUCCAUGUCUUGCUGUUUUUUUGCUAUUUAUUUCUCAGCUUUAGUCAUUUAAUCUAUUUUUCCACAAUAUACUUCUUGCGCUCGACAUCAUAUAGAUGAAAUGAUCAUGUUAGAAUGUUAGAUCAUCGAUUUGCAAGAAAAUCUAGCACGUGUAUAACAAAGAUAUAUAGACACUUGUGCUGGUCAACUAAAAUGAGUUUUAGCACUUAGAAUUCAUUCACUUCUCCUCAUGCACGCAAGCAUGUUAUAGGACUACAUGCAAUCCCAGUUGCUUAAAACUAGUCGGUGCAAAUUUAGGGUGCCUCCCAAACUUCGAACUUGUUUAGAUUUUAGCAGGGGUAUUAUAGGAAGUUUUGGAGAGGGUUGGAGAUGACCAUGGGUAUUGAUGCUGGAAGACUACUGCGCUUCUGGAAUUUUUGGUACGACCACAGAAAUUUUAUUUCCCGACUCGUGCAGUCGCCCCCAUCUCCGCUGCAGCCAAGAGGAAAUCCUCUUCCCGUUCUGACCACCCCUCAAUAAAUGCAGCUUGGAGAUAGAUCGCCCUCAUGUCCCUUUUUCUCUCUCUAGCCUUCACCAAUACUACUGUUAACUGUGGCAGGCGAGCAGGCGUACUAACUACUAAGGAAACAGUAGGUAGAAAAAAUAAAAAACACAAUGUCAAAUCAGUUGGAGAACCAAUACAAGGAGACAAGGAUAGGAGCGAUGCAAGUGGCGUUAUAAGGCUCAUGCAAAGGAUAGAUAUAUAAAAGGUGAUGAAUGAAUGAAGACUUAGUCCAAUUACUUUGGCAUGGAAUUCUAUAAUUGUGAUCAGCAUUACCCUUGUCGGAUAAUGUUAACAAUGACAUGAGGCCAUUUAUGAUAGCUGGUUGGCGCCCCCUGCCGUCGCACAGUUCCCCAAAUCAACUAGGGGUGCUGGGAAGCCCAUCAUUAUUUUCAAAAUUAAUACUAGCAUGAGCAACAAUCUAUGUACUUGUUAAUUUCAACAUGUUGUGGUUGGUUUAUCGUACCAUAAAAUACAAAUGAUCCUUGCUAAUGUAGUCACUAAUUAUUCCAAAUUAAUUAAUUUAAGCUAGUAGGUGGAUCCUUAACCUAUCAAAUGUAGAACUAUUUCUCAACACCUUCUCUCAAGUGUAGAGCUAUAGGCUCUGAUAUUGAUUCAUAAGAGGGAUCAUGGGCUCUGGUAUCAUGUUAAAAUCUGACCCAAAAAUUUAAGCUAGUAGGUGGACGGAGCCAUGAGUAUAUAAACACGCUACAAAAAAAAUUGUUUUUUCAACGCUUUUUAAAACCUAUACCGAUAUUUAUAAGUGUCGGUAAUUUUUCCGUCGACGCUUUUUUAAGCAUCGCAAAAGAGUCGGAUAGGUAGGAGUGGGAAAAAAAAUUUCAACGCUUUUGAAAAGCAUCGCUAAAGGGUUGAUUUUAGCGACGCAUAAAAGCAUCGCUAAAAGUGCAGUUAACGACGCUUUAAAGCAUCGGCUUUUAACUGCUAGUUUUUAUAAAGAAUAAUUAUAACGUUUUAAAGCAUCUUUAUAAUUAUUUUUAAAAAAAAAUAAUUUUUUUAAAAAAAGUCAUCCUUCCAGCACCGUGGCGCCUUCCCUUCUAGCAAGCUCAACAAAUCAGGAUACCGAAGUUUCCGGUGGCGGAGCUCAGAAGCCGCCCCCACCUCCCCCUCCUACGGAGGUUCUUCAAUGGUUGAAAUCCCUCCCCUAGCUCUUGAGGACCCCAUCGCCUACAUCAUCAAGAUCGAGAAGGAGGCCUCCUCUGAGUACCAAUCAAAUACCUGAAUUUUACAAUCAACAUGACAACUAUUUCACGAUGCAACAGAUCCAAAACAUCAGAAGCCAAGAUUCCAAUUUCUAAGUCUUAGAAACAAAUCAUAUAUAUCACAUAUUCCAUUCUGACCAAGAAAUAUAACAACAUCCCCUAUAUAGUUCAAGAAAAUUCCAACCACUAAUCCGAUUCAAAUUAAAUGAAAAUCAAUGAGAAAACUAUCAAGAAACCAAUACGAAGGUCUGCGAGAAAAGAUUCAAUAAACAAGAGCAAGAACUCACCAAGAUGAUCAAGUUCUAUGGCGAGGGACUCCACUCCAAUCCUCUUGAAGAGUGAUUUGACGUCCUUUGAAAACCUCCAUUUCCUAUCAACCAAAACGUAAGCAAAUCAAUCGACAUCAUUAGAGAGAGAAAUCAGAACUCACAAGCACCAAGUCUUGGAGUAGAUGACGACGGGGUUCUCCGAUAUCAUCUUCUUGACGGUCACCUCUAGCAUCGAAUCAAAAGAAGAAGAGGACAUCGAUCGGAGGCGAGUGCGCUGCCUCUUCAUCCUUCGCCGCCUCUGAGGGCAGAGCAAAGAAAAGGGUGGAGCAUGGGAGGAGGGAAGAGAGGGGCGAGCUGGAGAAGGUGAUGGCAUCGUGCAUUCCUGAGAGCUGGUUGGGGAGACUACCCCUAGAACAUGCGGGGGGGUGUCAAGGGCCAAGGGCUCGGAGAGAUUUGUAAGGAGAGAUGGGGAAAGGGUUAGGGAUUUGAAGGAGAGAUGGGGAUAGGGUUAGGGAUUUGUAAGGGGAGAGAAGGGGGGGGGGGGUCCGACAAUGCAUUUAAAGCGUCGUUGGGGAGAGGGUUUGUUUUGGUGGGGAUGGAGAAUGGGUCUCCGACGACGCUUUUUAAAGCGUCGUUUGGAAAAAAAAAGAGAGUAAAGCCUUGGCCUCCGACGAUGCUUUCUAAAGCAUCGUUGGAGGAAUCGGUCUCCGACAACGCUUUCUAAAGCAUCUUUAGAGGAAUCAGCCUCCGACAGUGCUUUCUAAAGCAUUGUUUCUAUUUUGGUUUCCGCUGAUAUUUUUUAGCAUCGUCUAAGUUAGUCUUCCCACUAAACUAUCGGUAUCUUCCGAUGCUAUUUAGAAGCGUCGGCAAAAUUUGGCGUGCCAGUCAAAUUCCCAAUGCUUCUCUCUAGCGCCGGCAGUUAGGUAUCGGAGUUAACUGUUUUUUUCCUGUAGUGAUAUCACUAAAGUCUUCAAUCUAUCCAAUAUAAAGAACUAUAUCUCUGCAGAAAUAUUAAUUGCGUAUAAUACUAUUCGAAUUAUGAUAUAGCGACUAGCCAAGCCUAAUACAAGGAUGUAUGUGCAUAGCGCAUUUGUUUGGCAUUGGAGGAAGUUAAAGGGCUUGUUAUCAUAAAAAAGUGUAAUUAAUGGCUUUCUACAUGUGAACUAGAAUUCUUGUGGAUGAAUAGCUUAUUCUAUUGAUUCUUAUGGAUAAGGUGCCUUAUAGGUCUCUCCAUGGAAAGUUCCUAAUCCUAAUAUGGUAUACUUACAAAAGUAGUUUCUAUUUAUCAAAAAACUAUAAUAGAACCUUAAUUAAGAUGCCAUGCUCAUUUCACUAUAAGGUUGGUAGAUAAUAAAUUCAAAGUUAGGUGUAAUCGAUGUUGUAAUAAUGCAAAAAUUGACUGUUAGGUAAUUUUAGGAUACAUCUCAUACACUAGAUCUACUUUGAGGAGAUGACUCUGAUACUAUUUGAUCUAAUAUAAGGGGGACUCUGAUGAAAAUUGACAAUGAAUUUAAUGCACAAAGCUUGCAUAACCAUUUUUACAAGCAUUAAGAAGAGGUUCCAUGGUUUGCAGUGUGGUGGUCCAACCAGUAUUCUCUAAGGGCCCGAAAUCAAAAAAAAAAAAAAAAGGAAAGAGAAAGGGAAAAACCACUGCCAAGUUAUCAGGAAAACUAGAUGAAGUUGCGGAUCAAAUAUCUCCCAGUAAAAAGAAAGGACUCUGUGACAAUUUCAUUUUGCACGAGCCCCAACGAGUGCAAUUGAUGCGCCUUGGAGUCGAGCACCUAGAAAACCUAGAACCCCUGCUGUAUAAAUUCCACCAUCAAAUAGAAAUAAUAUCAAAUAGUUUUUUGACACAUAGUUUGAGUAAAGUCGUGUAGUAAUAGGAGCAGCAAUUGGUGAUGAGGCAUCGUUGAAAUGCGUAGCCAGACCGUCCGUCAUGUAUCUCCCGUCCUUGUACUUGAUCACAAUAUGUCCACACAUGCACGCAUAAAUCUCCAAAGCCAGCUUCGCAUUAACUCACCCACACCUACAUGGUUCUGUCCAGUUUCCUGUUUUGAAUCCUCUCAGGUGCCCUUUUGUACGGACCAGCUCGGGUUUGGCCUUUAAUCUCACCCCACAAAACGGCCUGAAUCUAUUAGUCUAACCCUUCUUAGGUUUCAGUGCUCCCCCUAU
rnacentral:lncRNA from 1 species